rnacentral:rRNA from 1 species
UCGAGAAUCUUCGGCAAUGGGCGAAAGCCUGACCGAGCGACGCCGCGUGUGGGAUGAAGGCCUUCGGGUUGUAAACCACUGUCAGUGCGGAGGAAGUUUUGAGGGGUUCUCCCCUUGAUUUGACCUAUGCGCAGAGGAAGGACGGGCUAAGUUCGUGCCAGCAGCCGCGGUAAGACGAACCGUCCAAACGUUAUUCGGAAUCACUGGGCUUAAAGGGUGCGUAGGCGGUUCGAUAAGUUGGGUGUGAAAGACCUCGGCUCAACCGAGGAAUAGCGCCCAAAACUGUCGGACUCGAGUAAGGCAGAGGUGAACGGAACUUAGGGUGGAGCGGUGAAAUGCGUUGAUAUCCUAAGGAACACCAGUAGCGAAAGCGGUUCACUGGGCCUUUUCUGACGCUGAUGCACGAAAGCCAGGGGAGCGAACG